UACAGAGGUGGCGAGCGUUGUUCGGAUUUACUGGGCGUAAAGGGUGCGUAGGUGGUUCCGUAUGUCGGAUGUGAAAUCCCACUGCUCAACGGUGGAACGGCAUUCGAAACUGUGGAACUAGAGUACAGGAGAGGAGAGCGGAAUUCUUGGUGUAGCGGUGAAAUGCGUUGAUAUCAAGAAGAACACCGGUGGCGAAGGCGGCUCUCUAGAAUGUAACUGACACUGAGGCACGAAAGCUGGGGGAG
rnacentral:rRNA from 1 species